AACCUUAUGGACCUGCGGGCGUAUACCUGCGGAGGGAUCAUUACCGAGUGAGGGCCCUCCGGGUCCAACCUCCCACCCGUGUUUAACGAACCUUGUUGCUUCGGCGGGCCCGCCUCACGGCCGCCGGGGGGCACCCCGCCCCCGGGCCCGCGCCCGCCGAAGACACCUGUGAACGCUGUCUGAAGUUGCAGUCUGAGACACUAGCUCAAUCAGUUAAAACUUUCAACAAUGGAUCUCAGA
rnacentral:misc_RNA from 1 species